CCUCCUUGUCCAGCAGAGCCUGGGGUCUGUCGUACUCAAGGAUGAUCCCCCGCUUCAUCACGAUCACCAGGUCGGCAUUGAGGAUGGUGUGGACGCGAUGCUGCGUGACAGAGCAGAAGAAACUUUUCAAGGUUAAAGCGUCAGCAGUGCAUUGUGAAGGUCAGCAGUCCCUGUGCUAACGCAGCUGUAAAUGGCAAGGGGGAUAUACUCACUGCUAUGAUAACUACUGUUCGAUCAGCGAAAGCAGUCAUCACCACUUUCUGCAGGAUGCUCUCCUGUGGAGAAGGAGGCAGGGAGGAUCAACUGUGUGUCCUUGAGGGCAGUGCUGCUGCCUUAUUGUAAGCUGGAACUGGUGCUCUUUGUGGCCGAUCAUUCAGGAGAGGCUUUUAAGGACGGAGCAACCAUUUCCUGAAAUUCCCCUCAGGCUCUCGGUGCGUUAGUUAAAGGUUUACUCCCAAAACUGCUGAGAUUUGUUUUCUCGUUCUGUACCUCUUUUAAUAUUACUCUACAAAAGAACCAAGUGUUAAGCUUUUACCGUUGUACAUCUAUUCACAAAUCAUCCAGUCUGUCAGCUUUUCCUUCAUUUUCUUUGCUGCCGUGCCCCCAGAUGAAAAUUACCGCGUGCACUUUGCGUCACCCCUGCACUUCUCGUGUCCUUCACCUCCCCUUUCUCUGAUUUUCUCAUUUCUUUUCUCCCUCUUCACACCUGCUCUCCACUCUUCACCUUAAAGAUGCUCUUUGUUUAAUUACAC